AUUGAACGCUGGCGGCAUGAUUUACACAUGCAAGUCGAACGGUAACAGGCCGCAAGGUGCUGACGAGUGGCGAACGGGUGAGUAAUGCAUCGGAACGUGCCCAGUCGUGGGGGAUAACUACUCGAAAGAGUAGCUAAUACCGCAUACGAUCUAUGGAUGAAAGCGGGGGACCGUAGGCCUCGCGCGAUUGGAGCGGCCGAUGUCAGAUUAGGUAGUUGGUGGGGUAAAGGCUCACCAAGCCAACGAUCUGUAGCUGGUCUGAGAGGACGACCAGCCACACUGGGACUGAGACACGGCCCAGACUCCUACGGGAGGCAGCAGUGGGGAAUUUUGGACAAUGGGCGCAAGCCUGAUCCAGCAAUGCCGCGUGCAGGAAGAAGGCCUUCGGGUUGUAAACUGCUUUUGUACGGAACGAAACGGCUCUGGUUAAUACCCGGGGCUAAUGACGGUACCGUAAGAAUAAGCACCGGCUAACUACGUG
rnacentral:rRNA from 1 species